GUUUGCCUACGGGGCGCAGCAGUGAGGAAUAUUGGUCAAUGGGCGGAAGCCUGAACCAGCCAAGUCGCGUGAGGGAAGAAGGCCCUGCGGGUCGCAGACCUCUUUGGACGGGGAGCAAGGCCGCCGACGUGUCGGCGGAAGGAGAGUACCCGUAGAACAAGCAUCGGCUAACUCCGUGCCAGCAGCCGCGGUAAUACGGAGGAUGCGAGCGUUAUCCGGAUUUAUUGGGUUUAAAGGGUGCGCAGGCGGCACGGCAAGCCGGCGGUCAAAGCGCGGGGGUCAAACCCGCCA
rnacentral:rRNA from 1 species